rnacentral:tRNA from 1 species
AUAUAGGUCAGCUAAUGAAAGCUAAUGGGCUCAUAUCUCAUAAAUGAAGUUAAUUA